rnacentral:rRNA from 1 species
GUAGGGAAUAUUGGGCAAUGGGCGGAAGCCUGACCCAGCCAUGCCGCGUGCAGGACGAAGGCCUUCUGGGUUGUAAACUGCUUUUAUCAGGGAAGAAAACACCCAUGCGUGGGGAACUGACGGUACCUGAGGAAUAAGCACCGGCUAACUCCGUGCCAGCAGCCGCGGUAAUACGGAGGGUGCAAGCGUUGUCCGGAUUUAUUGGGUUUAAAGGGUGCGUAGGCGGCCUUUUAAGUCAGCGGUGAAAGCCCGGGGCUCAACCCCGGAACCGCCGUUGAUACUGGGAGGCUUGAGUACAGACGAGGUAGGCGGAAUUGAGGGUGUAGCGGUGAAAUGCUUAGAUACCCUCAAGAACACCGAUUGCGUAGGCAGCUUACUAGGCUGUAACUGACGCUGAGGCACGAAAGCGUGGGGAGCGAACAGGAUUAGAAACCCUAGUAGUCC